AACAGAGUCGGCAUCUUUGUCUUUACUUUCUAUUUGUUGCCAACCAUCAUCUAUGAUCAAAAAUUUUGGUGGAGUGCCUCCUUCAGAAAGACUGCUACCUUUUAAGGCCUUCCUCAACACCUUCAGCAGUCACGUCUGUGUAGAAAGCGUCCCACGUGCACCACCCGAACCAGUUGAGGAAAGAAGGCAGCUAAUAAACAAACGAAAAAGAUAUAUCGUUAGAUCCCAAUUAAAGAGCCAGAAUCCAUACUCUCUGUAAGAUUCGCUAACCUUCUUCUUCUCGCGGUGAUGGAACGUUUGCAUGUGUUUCUCUACAGCUCUGUUAAAUCACGUAGAAACACUGUUACAAGAAACGUCUACACGGGACAACAUGAAGCAGAGCUAAUGCUUUGGUUGCUUUCAGAUGCGUUAUGAUUAAAAAAAACUGAUUACGGAAAACAUAAGAGGGCCAAACAUACUUUACGGCUUGUCUAAUAACUUCGAAGGGAUUGGUUCCAGCAUGAACAUAGACAAGAACAGAUCGGAACUGGCCUUCGAGGAGAGGUAGGAAAACAGUGUAGAUGGUGGGAGAAUCGUCGUCAACCUCGUCCUUGCUCUCAACAAGCAUGAAUUGGGUCUCCAAAGUAAUUCAAAAAUGGGUAAGAGGGUUCUUACUCCAAUACACCGAUGGGGAAGACAUGAAGAGACUUGUUGUGAUCAGAUGUUGCGCCGAUGAAGGCACCGGCGACACGACCGGCACCGGCGGUUCCCGGCGUGACGAUAAUGUUGUCGGGAACUUUGGUUAGGAUCGUCUUCCCUUCUACCACCAAGUUGUCGUUCUGGACGCAUAUCUUUGGGGUUAUCGUCAUUUUUUCUCUUA